rnacentral:rRNA from 1 species
UACGAAGGGGGCGAGCGUUGUUCGGAAUUACUGGGCGUAAAGGGCGCGUAGGCGGUGUGUCAAGUCAGGCGUGAAAGCCCCGGGCUCAACCUGGGAACCGCGCUUGAGACUGGCACGCUCGAGUCCGGGAGAGGAUGGUGGAAUUCCCAGUGUAGAGGUGAAAUUCGUAGAUAUUGGGAAGAACACCCGAUGGCGAAGGCAGCCAUCUGGACCGGCACUG